GUACUGUAAUUUGCAUUAAAUAAA
rnacentral:piRNA from 1 species